rnacentral:rRNA from 1 species
GGCGAACGGGUGAGUAACACGUGAGUAACCUGCCCCUGACUCUGGGAUAAGCCUGGGAAACCGGGUCUAAUACCGGAUACGACCAUUUCUCGCAUGGGAUGGUGGUGGAAAGUUUUUUCGGUUGGGGAUGGGCUCGCGGCCUAUCAGCUUGUUGGUGGGGUGAUGGCCUACCAAGGCGACGACGGGUAGCCGGCCUGAGAGGGCGACCGGCCACACUGGGACUGAGACACGGCCCAGACUCCUACGGGAGGCAGCAGUGGGGAAUAUUGCGCAAUGGGCGGAAGCCUGACGCAGCGACGCCGCGUGGGGGAUGACGGCCUUCGGGUUGUAAACCUCUUUCAGCAGGGACGAAGUUGACGUGUACCUGUAGAAGAAGCGCCGGCUAACUACGUGCCAGCAGCCGCGGUAAUACGUAGGGCGCGAGCGUUGUCCGGAAUUAUUGGGCGUAAAGAGCUCGUAGGUGGCUUGUUGCGUCUGCCGUGAAAGCCCGUGGCUUAACUACGGGUCUGCGGUGGAUACGGGCAGGCUAGAGGCUGGUAGGGGCAAGCGGAAUUCCUGGUGUAGCGGUGAAAUGCGCAGAUAUCAGGAGGAACACCGGUGGCGAAGGCGGCUUGCUGGGCCAGUUCUGACGCUGAGGAGCGAAAGCGUGGGGAGCGAACAGGAUUAGAUACCCUGGUAGUCCACGCUGUAAACGUUGGGC